rnacentral:rRNA from 1 species
UACAGAGGUCUCAAGCGUUGUUCGGAUUCAUUGGGCGUAAAGGGUGUGUAGGUGGCGCGCUAAGUCGGGGUGUGAAAUUUCGGAGCUUAACUCCGAAACUGCAUUCGAUACUGGCGUGCUUGAGGACUGGAGAGGAGACUGGAAUUCAUGGUGUAGCAGUGAAAUGCGUAGAGAUCAUGAGGAAGACCAGUGGCGAAGGCGGGUCUCUGGACAGUUCCUGACACUGAGACACGAAGGCCAGGGGAGCAAACGGG